rnacentral:tRNA from 1 species
AAUGAAGUGCCUGAAAAAAGGAUUAUUUUGAUAGAAUAAAUUAUGUAUUUUUAAUACCUUCAUUA